CUACGGGUUGCUGCUGUGAGGAAUAUUGCACAAUGGAGGAAACUCUGAUGCAGCAACGCCGCGUGGAGGAUGACGCAUUUCGGUGUGUAAACCCCUUUUAUAUGUCAAGAAAAUGACGGUAGCAUAUGAAUAAGCACCGGCUAACUCCGUGCCAGCAGCCGCGGUAAUACGGAGGGUGCAAGCGUUACUCGGAAUCACUGGGCGUAAAGGACGCGUAGGCGGGAUAUCAAGUCAGGUGUGAAAUCCUACAGCUUAACUGUAGAACUGCACUUGAAACUGGUAACCUAGAGUAUGGGAGGGGGAGAUGGAAUUAGUGGUGUAGGGGUAAAAUCCGUAGAUAUCACUAGGAAUACCUAAAGCGAAGGCGAUCUCCUGGAACAUAACUGACGCUAAGGCGUGAAAGCGUGGGGAGCAAACAGGAUUAGAUACCCUAGUAGUC
rnacentral:rRNA from 1 species